CCUACGGGUGGCAGCAGUGAGGAAUAUUGGUCAAUGGACGCAAGUCUGAACCAGCCAUGCCGCGUGCAGGAAGACGGCUCUAUGAGUUGUAAACUGCUUUUGUACGAGGGUAAACUCAGAUACGCGUAUCUGUCUGCAAGUAUCGUACGAAUAAGGAUCGGCUAACUCCGUGCCAGCAGCCGCGGUAAUACGGAGGAUUCGAGCGUUAUCCGGAUUUAUUGGGUUUAAAGGGUGCGUAGGCGGUCUGUUAAGUUAGAGGUGAAAUCCCGAGGCUCAACUUCAGAAUUGCAUGUGAUACUGUUAGGCUAGAGAACAGUAGAGGUAGGCGGAAUGUAUGGUGUAGCGGUGAAAUGCUUAGAGAUCAUACAGAACACCGAUUGCGAAGGCAGCUUACCAAGCUACUUCUGACGUUGAGGCACGAAAGCGUGGGGAGCAAACAGGAUUAGAUACCCCAGUAGUC
rnacentral:rRNA from 1 species